UAAGUACAUGCUCUAGAUGAAGCAGCGGCUUUCCAGUAUCUUUUUUUUUGAGACAGAAUCUCACUCUGUCACCCAGGUGGGAGUGCGGGGUCAUUAUCCUGUCUCACUGCAACCUCUGUCUCCCGAGUUCAAGCAAUUCUCCUCCCUCAGCCUCCCUAGUACGUGGGACUAUGGGCAUGCGCCACCAUGCCCAGCUAAUUUUUGUAUUUUUAGUAGAGACGGGGUUUCACCAUGUUGGCCAGGCUGGUCUCGAACUCCUGACCUCAGGUGAUCCUCCCGCCUCGGCCUCCCAAAGUGCUGGGAUUACAGGCCUGAGCCGCCAUGCCCGUCCAUCUCUUAAGCUUAGUACCGUGACAAGUUGGAACAGUCCAAGGCCUAUUAGGAAUUUCAUGCUUGUUGAUUGAUAAUCAAGGAAAUAACAGGUCGUUUGGAGAACUGUCUUUAGGAUUCUGUUCCUUGCUUUACAGAAAAGGUGAACAAAUCUUUCCUUCAAGUAGGUGCUGAAUAGAUAGUCUUUGGAGCUUGUAGUAGGGUCCCAUGAGCACCGCCCACAGCUGCUUUCUGUACCAUCUGAGGUCAUCUCAUCCUUAAGAGAACUUUUAGGACCAGACAGGAAUGCUCAUCUCUCUGUGCCCAAUAGUUCUCUGGGGGUGGCCUGAGGCUGAUUUGUCUAUGGUCACUGAGUUCAUUUACUUUUAUUUUCUAGGCCUUAUGAUGGGAAAUGGAGUAAAACAAUGGUGGGAUUUGGGCCUGAGGAUGAUCAUUUUGUUGCAGAACUGACUUACAAUUAUGGCAUCGGAGACUACAAGCUUGGCAAUGACUUUAUGGGAAUCACGCUCGCUUCUAGCCAGGCUGUGAGCAAUGCCAGGAAGCUGGAGUGGCCACUGACGGAAGUUGCAGAAGGUGUUUUUGAAACCGAGGCCCCAGGAGGAUAUAAGUUCUAUUUGCAGAAUCGCAGCCUGCCUCAGUCAGAUCCUGUAUUAAAAGUAACUCUAGCAGUGUCUGAUCUUCAAAAGUCCUUGAACUACUGGUGUAAUCUACUGGGAAUGAAAAUGUAUGAAAAAGAUGAAGAAAAGCAAAGGGCUUUGCUGGGCUAUGCUGAUAACCAGUGUAAGCUGGAGCUACAGGGCGUCAAGGGUGCGGUGGACCAUGCAGCAGCUUUUGGAAGAAUUGCCUUCUCUUGCCCCCAGAAAGAGUUGCCAGACUUAGAAGACUUGAUGAAAAGGGAGAACCAGAAGAUUCUGACUCCCCUGGUGAGCCUAGACACCCCAGGGAAAGCAACAGUGCAGGUGGUCAUUCUGGCCGACCCUGAUGGACAUGAAAUUUGCUUUGUCGGGGAUGAAGCAUUUCGAGAACUUUCUAAGAUGGAUCCAGAGGGAAGCAAAUUGUUGGAUGAUGCAAUGGCAGCAGAUAAAAGUGAUGAGUGGUUUGCUAAACACAAUAAACCCAAAGCUUCAGGUUAAUGGAAGACAUGAUGCAGAGCAAACCUCUGUGAUUCCUGCCCAGCACCUGUGAGGCCUGACGUGUCAGUUCUCGAUAAUUGCUCUUCUAAUUUGUUUCCCGUACAGGCAAGGAGGCUUGGGUAGUGCAGAUUUGUGUAUUUCAAUCUUUGAAAGCUCUGAUGUAUUUUAGAAAUGAAAUCCAAUCAUAAGUCCAGGUAGAGAAUGCCUGCUGUAAUCGACGCUGUUGCUGGGACUGCGCAUUCUGUAUAUAACUGUGUUCGAUGAGUCACAGAUGAUUGUCCAGACUAGGACAGCGGCAUGAACGUGACUUUGGUUGGGAUUGCAGAUAGUUAGGGUUAACUCUGAAUCAUGUAGAUUUUAUGAGAGCAGCUGUUCAAGUAAAUCCAAAUUAAUGGCUUGUCAUGGUACCAUUCCCAGCACCUGAUGAUAUGCUGUUCUAUUAUCUUAUUCUGGCAGGUUUUGACAUUUUAAAUUUUUUAAAGAAAUUUUAUUCCUUGGACCAAAAGGUUUGGUUUACCACCCCCAUCUUACUUGCUUUUACAUUUUGAGUGUCCAGAGGAAACAGAAAGGAAUGAGUGUGUGACGUUGCUGCACGCCUAGCUCCGUGUGAGUUUCUUUCUGUGCAUAUAUUUUGUUUUAUUUUUUUCUGUGUCUAUUUUUAAUCCCGACAGAACAUCAUGUGAGAUUUCUUUAAAAUGGAUUAAACGAUUUCUUCAGCCUGAAAAAAAGGUUUUGAAAAUGUUUUCUUGUGGUUUUGUUUGGUUCUAUACAACAAAUAGGUUUUAAUCACUCGAAAUGGAAUUAUAUUGUGUAUUCAUUGAAUAAUUAAAUUUUUUUUGAAAGUAAGCUUCUG
rnacentral:sRNA from 1 species